rnacentral:lncRNA from 8 species
GAUGUGACCAUGGGAAAGUUAAGAGUGUCUGUGUGGAAAAGGUUUUCUCAGGUAGAGCAGUCUGUUAACAUGAUCCUAUAUUAUAUACAUGGUCCUCAUACAUCUAUAACACUGUUAUAACACCUGUUAUAACACCUUGUAACGUCUCAUACUUCUAUAACACUGUUAUAAAACAUUGUAACGUCUCAUACUUCUAUAACACUGUCAUAACACCUUGUAACAUCUGUUAUAACACAUUGUAACAUCUGUUAUAACACAUUGUAACAUCUCAUACAUCUAUAACACUGUUACAAUGUGUUUUAACAUCUCAUACAUCCAUAACACUGUUAUAAAACAUGGUAACGUCUGUUAUAACACAUUGUAACAUCUGUUAUAACACCUUGUAACGUCUGUUAUAACACGUGUGAUGCUCUUAUUGCUGUUUUGCUGUGAUCCCUGUGAUUUUUCAUGGAGGCUGAAGCCUUGAGGUGAUUGGUCUGACAGACGGCCUUUAACUGGACAGUCUUUGGCCCCUCCCCCCACGCAGACAGACGCAGCAGGCUGAGGACCUGAUUGGUUGGCGAUGACGGAGUCUCAUUGAAACGCUUUGCAGCAUCACGGGCCUUGACUACUCUCUAGCUGCUGCUGCUAUCACCUGUUACUGCCUGACUCUAACCGCUAUCCUCUGACCCCUAACCCCUAUCCUCUAACCCCUAACCCCUAUCCUCUAACCCCUGACCCCUAACCCCAGGCUCUAACCUGCCAGACACUCUGUUAGUCUCUGUUAGUGUGUGAAACUACUGUCUGUACUGUGAUUUAAAUACUCAUUGCUUUCUACUGAUGAAUACCUAAUGAAUAAAGCAUCAGAUGUGAAUACACAAUGCAGCAUCACACGUUACAAUGUAAACCUGUUGUAAGAUUUACCCACAGAUUUACAGCGAAAUGGGACUCACACAAAAAGGCCAAAUGAAUCAGAAUGUUAUUUGAUGUAUUUGAAGGAUUGAAAAGGAAUCUGUCUGAGAGAGAGAGAUAUACAGCUCAGUCUGUCCAGAGAGAGAUAUACAGCUCAGUCUGUCUAGAGAGAGAUAUACAGCUCAGUUUGUCCAGAGAGAUAUACAGCUCAGUCUGUCCAGAGAGAUAUACAGCUCAGUCUGUCCAGAGAGAUAUACAGCUCAGUCUGUCCAGAGAGAGAUAUACAGCUCAGUCUGUCUAGAGAGAGAUAUACAGCUCAGUCUGUCCAGAGAGAGAUAUACAGCUCAGUCUGUCCAGAGAGAGAGAUAUACAGCUCCGUCUGUCUAGAGAGAUAUACAGCUCAGUCUGUCCAGAGAGAUAUACAGCUCAGUCUGUCCAGUGAGAGAUAUACAGCUCAGUCUGUCUAGAGAGAGAUAUACAGCUCAGACUGUCCAGAGAGAUAUACAGCUCAGUCUGUCCAGAGAGAGAUAUACAGCUCAGUCUGUCUAGAGAGAGAUAUACAGCUCAGUCUGUCUAGAGAGAUAUACAGCUCAGUCUGUCCAGAGAGAUAUACAGCUCAGUCUGUCCAGAGAGAUAUAGCUGUAGAGAGGACACUACAGGAGACAGAACGCUGUAGAGAGGACACUACAGGGGACAGAACUGAACGCUGUAGAGAGGACACUACAGGAGACAGAACGCUGUAGAGAGGACACUACAGGAGACAGAACGCUGUAGAGAGGACACUACAGGAGACAGAACGCUGUAGAGAGGACACUGCAGGAGACAGAACGCUGUAGAGAGGACACUACAGGAGACAGAACGCUGUAGAGAGGACACUACAGGAGACAGAACGCUGUAGAGAGGACACUACAGGAGACAGAACGCUGUAGAGAGGACACUACAGGAGACAGAACGCUGUAGAGAGGACACUACAGGGGACAGAACUGAACGCUGUAGAGAGGACACUACAGGAGACAGAACGCUGUAGAGAGGACACUACAGGAGACAGAACGCUGUAGAGAGGACACUACAGGAGACAGAACGCUGUAGAGAGGACACUACAGGGGACAGAACUGAACGCUGUAGAGAGGACACUACAGGAGACAGAACGCUGUAGAGAGGACACUACAGGAGACUGAACGCUGUAGAGAGGACACUACAGGAGGCAGAACGCUGUAGAGAGGACACUACAGGAGACAGAACGCUGUAGAGAGGACACUACAGGAGACAGAACUCUGUAGAGAGGACACUACAGGAGACAGAACGCUGUAAAGAGGACACUACAGGGGACAGAACUGAACGCUGUAGAGAGGACACUACAGGAGACAGAACGCUGUAGAGAGGACACUACAGGAGGCAGAACGCUGUAGAGAGGACACUACAGGAGACAGAACGCUGUAGAGAGGACACUACAGGAGACAGAACGCUGUAGAGAGGACACUACAGGAGACAGAACGCUGUAGAGAGGACACUACAGGAGACAGAACGCUGUAGAGUGGACACUACAGGAGACAGAACGCUGUAGAGAGGACACUACAGGAGACAGAACGCUGUAGAGAGGACACUACAGGAGACAGAACGCUGUAGAGAGGACACUACAGGAGACUGAACGCUGUAGAGAGGACACUACAGGAGACAGAACGCUGUAGAGAGGACACUACAGGAGACAGAACGCUGUAGAGAGGACACUACAGGAGACAGAACGCUGUAGAGAGGACACUACAGGAGACAGAACGCUGUAUAGAGGACACUACAGGAGACAGAACGCUGUAGAGAGGACACUACAGGAGACAGAACGCUGUAGAGAGGACACUACAGGAGACAGAACGCUGUAGAGAGGACACUACAGGAGACAGAACGCUGUAGAGAGGACACUACAGGAGACAGAGAAAUGAUGGACAUGUCAAUAUAUCUUGGAAGGAGUUAACGUGACAUGCGAACAGGCCUAUAUAUAACACCUCACUUCCUGGUUCUUCAUGUAAUCAAGCAUUAAGAGAUGAGGCCAGAAUAUUCAACAGGUUCUGGACAUGAAUAUUCAACAGGUUCUGGACAUGAAUAUUCAACAGGUUCUGGACAUGAAUAUUCAACAGGUUCUAUUUUUUUCUCCAUUUAAAACAGAUUCUGUUAAACAUUCCUUUUCUUUCCAGGAACCAAUGGCACGUCGUGUACACACACACACACACACACACACACACACACACACACACACACACACACACACACACACACACACACA